rnacentral:rRNA from 1 species
AUACGGAGGGUGCGAGCGUUGAUCGGAAUUACUGGGCGUAAAGCGUGCGUAGGCGGUUUGCUAAGUCAGAUGUGAAAGCCCCGGGCUUAACCUGGGAACUGCAUUUGAUACUGGCAGACUAGAGUAUGAUAGAGGGGGGUAGAAUUCCUGGUGUAGCGGUGAAAUGCGUAGAUAUCAGGAGGAAUACCAGUGGCGAAGGCGGCCCCCUGGAUCAAUACUGACGCUGAGGUACGAAAGCGUGGGGAGCGAACAGGAUUAGAAACCCUAGUAGUCC